rnacentral:tRNA from 1 species
GGGUAUAUAGCUCAGUGGUAGAGUGCCUGCUUAGUGUGCCCAAGAGUCCUGGGUUCAAUCCCAGUACCUCCA